AAAUGAUUCUAUGGCUACCUUGGAAGGAAGCCAAGGCCUAAUUGGCCCCAUAUUCCAGUGGUCAGCAUGCCUUGGUAACCUCUGUAGACCUGAUCAUCAGCGACAACAAACCUCAUGA
rnacentral:lncRNA from 14 species